GAUGAACGCUGGCGGCGUGCCUAAUACAUGCAAGUCGAGCGAACGGACGAGAAGCUUGCUUCUCUGAUGUUAGCGGCGGACGGGUGAGUAACACGUGGAUAACCUACCUAUAAGACUGGGAUAACUUCGGGAAACCGGAGCUAAUACCGGAUAAUAUUUUGAACCGCAUGGUUCAAAAGUGAAAGACGGUCUUGCUGUCACUUAUAGAUGGAUCCGCGCUGCAUUAGCUAGUUGGUAAGGUAACGGCUUACCAAGGCAACGAUGCAUAGCCGACCUGAGAGGCUGAUAGGCCACACGGGAACUGAGCCACGGUCCAGACUCCUACGGGAGGCAGCAGUAGGGAAUCUUCCGCAAUGGGCGAAAGCCUGACGGAGCAACGCCGCGUGAGUGAUGAAGGUCUUCGGAUCGUAAAGCUCUGUUAUUAGGGAAGAACAUAUGUGUAAGUAACUGUGCACAUCUUGACGGUACCUAAUCAGAAAGCCACGGCUAACUACGUG
rnacentral:rRNA from 1 species